rnacentral:lncRNA from 1 species
UUGGUAAUUGAUGCAAUUAGUGUCUCCAGCUCUUUUAUGCCCGUCUUGAACAUAAAAUACUAAAUAUAAAAUAGAUUGAUUGUUGGUUGCUUAACGUCCAGUGGCAAUUAUUUCAUGCAUAUUCAGGACGAGAACAAGUUCACAAUAAACACAAUAGGUAGGUCUUGUCACAAUAGUGGGCAUCUCGGAUGAUGGUCGGUGAAUU